AACGAACGCUGGCGGCAUGCCUAACACAUGCAAGUCGAACAAGACCUUCGGGUCUAGUGGCGCACGGGUGCGUAACGCGUGGGAACCUGCCCUUAGGUUCGGAAUAACUCCCCGAAAGGGGUGCUAAUACCGGAUAAUGUCUUCGGACCAAAGAUUUAUCGCCUUUGGAUGGGCCCGCGUUGGAUUAGCUAGUUGGUAGGGUAAAAGCCUACCAAGGCGACGAUCCAUAGCUGGUCUGAGAGGAUGAUCAGCCACACUGGGACUGAGACACGGCCCAGACUCCUACGGGAGGCAGCAGUGGGGAAUAUUGGACAAUGGGCGAAAGCAUGAUCCAGCAAUGCCGCGUGAGUGAUGAAGGCCUUAGGGUUGUAAAGCUCUUUUACCCGGGAUGAUAAUGACAGUACCGGGAGAAUAAGCUCCGGCUAACUCCGUG
rnacentral:rRNA from 1 species